AGAGUUUGAUCCUGGCUCAGAACGUACGCUGGCGGCACGCCUAACACAUGCAAGUCGAACGAAGUAGCAAUACUUAGUGGCAGACGGGUGAGUAACAUGUGGGUAUCUGCCCUUUGGCCUGGAAUAACACGAGGAAACUUGUGCUAAUACCGGAUAAGUCUUUACGGAGAAAGCUUUAUGCACCAUUGGAUGAGCCCGCACUUGAUUAGUUUGUUGGUGGGGUAAUGGCCUACCAAGACUGUGAUCAAUAGCUGAUUUGAGAGGAUGAUCAGCCACAUUGGGACUGAGACACGGCCCAAACUCCUACGGGAGGCAGCAGUGGGGAAUCUUGCACAAUGGAGGAAACUCUGAUGCAGCGAUGCCGCGUGAGUGAAGAAGGCCCUUGGGUUGUAAAGCUCUUUCGUCGGGGAAGAAAAUGACUGUACCCGAAUAAGAAGGUCCGGCUAACUUCGUGCCAGCAGCCGCGGUAAUACGAAGGGACCUAGCGUAGUUCGGAAUUACUGGGCUUAAAGAGUUCGUAGGUGGUUGAAAAAGUUAGUGGUGAAAUCCCAGAGCUUAACUCUGGAACUGCCAUUAAAACUUUUCAGCUAGAGUAUGAUAGAGGAAAGCAGAAUUUCUAGUGUAGAGGUGAAAUUCGUAGAUAUUAGAAAGAAUACCAAUUGCGAAGGCAGCUUUCUGGAUCAUUACUGACACUGAGGAACGAAAGCAUGGGUAGCGAAGAGGAUUAGAUACCCUCGUAGUCCAUGCCGUAAACGAUGUGUGUUAGACGUUGGAAAUUUAUUUUCAGUGUCGCAGGGAAACCGAUAAACACACCGCCUGGGGAGUACGACCGCAAGGUUAAAACUCAAAUGAAUUGACGGGGACCCGCACAAGUAGUGGAGCAUGUGGUUUAAUUCGAAGAUACGCGCAGAACCUUACCAACACUUGACAUGUUCGUCGCGACUCUAAGAGAUUAGAGUUUUCGGUUCGGCCGGACGAAACACAGGUGCUGCAUGGCUGUCGUCAGCUCGUGUCGUGAGAUGUUGGGUUAAGUCCCGCAACGAGCGCAACCCUCACUUUUAGUUGCCAUCAUUAAGUUGGGCACUCUGAAAGAACUGCCAGUGAUAAGCUGGAGGAAGGUGGGGAUGACGUCAAGUCCUCAUGGCCCUUACGUGUUGGGCUACACACGUGCUACAAUGGUAUCUACAACAGGAAGCAAGACUGCGAAGUUAAGCAAAUCCCUAAAAGAUACCUCAGUUCGGAUUGCACUCUGCAACUCGAGUGCAUGAAGCUGGAAUUACUAGUAAUCGUGGAUCAGCGUGCCACGGUGAAUGCGUUCCCGGGUCUUGUACACACCGCCCGUCACACCAUGGGAGUUGGUUCUACCUUAAGGCAAGGUUUAAAACCCUUGACCACGGUAUAGUCAGCGACUGGGGUGAAGUCGUAACAAGGUAACCGUA
rnacentral:rRNA from 1 species